CCGAGCGGAUGAGAGACAUCGUGAAGCGUGAAGCUGUACUCUAUAUCAAUCCAUUUCGGACGGACUUUAAAUCACAGCCACCACUACCACCACGGAGGACGAUGACUUUAAACGCCACCAACGAGAGCAUCAACCCAUCAGCAGUCGACAGUUCAUCAUCAUCAUCAUCACCCGUAGCAGCAGCGAGUGUUGUGCAGGACAGUGCGUUGACACGGUUUGUGUGAAGGAACCACCACUAAGCGCCAGUAAGAGGGACGCGACGGACGUUUUUCGGGGGAGAAAAUGUAAAGCAAAUGCUGGUGCGCUCUGACAGCGUCAUUUAGUGUCAAUUUCUCUUACUCAAUUUCUUCUCCUCCGGUCCAAUCCAAAACCAGUGAAGUGACGUAAAAAGGUUAAUGCUUUAAAGCCAGUAGCCGAUUCGCUUGAGCAAGUGUCAAAUUAUUAAGUUUAGUCUAGUCCCGGUGUUCCUGGGUUGACCGGUUCUUUGCUCGCACUCUCUCUCCCUCUCUUGCUCACUCUGCUCGCUGCUGCCGUUUGUGAAGAUCCCCAAGAGACAGACCGGGAGACGCGUGAGUGCCAAAACCAGGCGGGCGAGGUGGCAAGCGAUAACAAUGUUUAUCUUUCUGCUGUUCACCUCGGACGGCUGCCGGAGUGUGUGCCAAAUCUUUUCGCAUCGGCUGGUCGCCCACCUGAGACGACACCGGCGCAACCGAGCGGAACGUCGGGCGCAGGUGGAGCACGAAGCGAGAAAGGAAGCGACCAGCACGGCGUCGACGACGACAACGACGACCAGUGCUCGUGAUACAGCAUCGCAGCGCUGGAAGGCAAACAUAAGGACAUGGAUCAAGUGUUUCGGUGGCUCGUGUACUACCCCUGGCAGUUGUGCGGUUGGUACCGGUACCGAUGGUGACCGCACGGCCACGCGACGAAGCCUUCACGAGUCGGACAUGGUCCGGACGCUCGGCAAGCUGCUCCUCAAGCUGGUACAUCACGCGUGAUCGGCGUGCGGUUCGAGGAGCGAGCAGCAGCAGCAGCAGCAGCAGCAGCGUGGGUUCGGGGCAGAUGUCAACUAGGGAGUCACCAGACGAGACGAGCGAAAGGCGAAGAAAUUCGAUUCCCAACUGAAGUAGGUGAGCUCGGCCGGAUGACCCGAAAUCUGUAUGCUUGUAUGUGCUGUGGAGCUCUCGUCCUUCUCGUCUGCAUGUGUCUGUGUGUGUCAUUUCCUUUUCUUAUCGUAGUCAAGCUUUCGUCGUUUAUGGAAUCACACCGUUCACACCGAUCGCUCUCGAUCGAUUCUAUCUCCCAAUUUCCACGCCGAGAGGUUCUUGAUCAACCCGUAUCCUUGGCCCCUGCCCGGUUGUACUGCUGCACAACAGUACGAGUGUUUGUGGAAUUGAAUUUCACACGAUGGAACGAAUGAAAAGCGGAAGGAAAAAGGUUUACAUUUUAUGAAAAGUAACCAAAACCCAACCAAGUUGCCAACAAAAACGAUAACAUUUGCAUAACAUUGUUGAUUCCGUUGUUCUCCGCUCGCUCAAUUUGUCAAACGUUUUUUGUAGUGUAUAAACCGC